GGAAAAAACAAACAAGAAAAAAAAAAGGCACUUGCUAGGAUUCCCUCCCUUGGUCGCUACCGCCCAAGGACUCAGCUGACGCUGUUUCUUGAAGACAAAACGAACCGAGUCAUUUUGCUGAGUUUGGACGCGGGGUGAUCCGUGAUUUUUGAACGCGGAAGCAUAGAGGGACUACACUAACGUGACCCGAUUACAAUUUGGUAUUUGAACAAGAAUAUUGGGACCUGUUUUCGGAGGGUGGAUCACAGAAAUAUAAGUCCUUAUAGAAGCCCACAGCUGAUAUGUAUGGUUAGUUUUGUCCACAUGAACGGAUACAAGCUUUGGCCACAGUGCUACCUAGAGCAUAUAUAUUGGUCUUCUGAUUACUACAUUUCAAGAGCAUGACUGCAUGAAGAUCUGAAGUUUGGGUUAGCCCUCGCCUGCUGCUGUAGAAGCUUUGCUUCUAAUUUAGUGAUCGCCUCAUGACUGUCAUUUUAAGUUGCUUUUUAAUAGCACUCGCAUGAACUGGAUUGUCUUGAAGCAUCCUUUCUACGGUAAUUGUUCCUUCCUGAAAUCAACCUGCCAUCUGUCAUAUAAGCACUAAAAUUUGAUCUGUUGAGCACUUGAGUCAGAUGGCCUAAGGACAUUUACUGAAGUGGAGAUCUGUGUGAGCUGCAAAUAUUUAUAUUAAUGUCCUUGCCUUCUAUUCAGUUGGUUGACGAGGCACCAUGUGGUUUUGGUACAUUGUUGGGCAUUUUCCGAUGUAAGCGUCUUUCAGGAUGCUGCUAUGUCUAUACAGGAUUGCAAGGGAAUGCUUUAUUUGUUGUGUACUAUGAUGUUAUGCCUAAUGAAAUCCUUGGCAGAAAAAGGAAAUCAAUAUAAUUGAAACAGCGAGGGUCAUGAAUUAA